UUUAACUCCUAAGACGGUAGAGGCAUUGGUAUGCACAAGUGAUUGGCUCAAGGCGGAUGAGUUUAAUUAUUACAAAGAUCCAACACAAGGGGAAUUGGAGCUUUAUUCAACCUUAGAGGAAAUUGAACAAGAGGUUAUUUCAACUCAAAAUCUUCAAGGAGUGCCUCUACCAAGUGCUUCAACCACUACCCAAGCUUCCACAAGGACCACCGCCACCAUUUAUCUUUGAAUUUUUUGUUCUUUGUCUUUGGUUGAACUUGAACGUGUUGAAGAUGGCUUACUGGCUGCUUAGUUACUUGCUUUCUGGUUGCUUAGUUAUUUAGUUAUUUUAGUCAUUUGCUGAAUAUGUGACUCUAUCAUCAAAGGUGGAAUGUGAUAUGUGGU